CUAUGUGUCGGCUUCCUCAACAAGCCAUUGGACUUUUACUUCAUUCUCUUGCACGUCGGUCCUAAGGCAAACAAAAGAAAAGAUUUCCUCAAGUCUCCUUCCUUCACACGAGAGGCUCUCAGUUUCCACUAGCCGCAAUUCCUCUUCCCCUCAAAGCCGAUUUCUUCCACUUCCUAAACCUAAGAUCCCCACCGAAAUCUCCAAGGAAAUCGACUUUGUAAAUAAAGUUCUAUGAUUCUAGCUUUUAGUUGGGAUUUUGGAUCUAUGGGUUUAACCUAGGGUUUCUUUUUGGAAAUUUUUCUGUUGUAUUCCAGCCCUUGGAUCUUUCGGAUUUCUCUUCCUCUUCUCGUCUGUUGUGUGUUUCCAUAGCUUGAGAGGGAGCCAAAUCAGGUAUGAAUGAUGAGGCUGUGGAGCUGGGCAUUGCUGAGGAGGGAGGGGCCGAUGUUUAGAUUUCCCUAUCGGUUUGGCUUUUGAUGAUAAUGGUUAUGUUUUUUAUGUUUUUAUGAUGGGUCCCAUGUUGGGAGAUUUUGUGGGCUUGACUUUGAGACAAUGUCUUGCAUGAUGUAAAUACUAUGGUGGGGGUGAUGGUAAUGGUGUAACUUCUAUGGUGGGGUAACGGUAACCCCACAUAAGAAUGUUAAAUGCCUUUUUGAAUGUGUUGUGGGGACUGAGUUCCCUCUUAUUUAGAA